CUGUAAACAUUCAUGCACAGGUUUUUAUGUGAACAUAAGUUUUCAUUUCUCUGUGGAAGACAAAUAGGAACAGGAUUCCUAGUUCAUAUGAAAGGCAAACCACAAAAGACAAAAAGAGAAAGAAGGACCUCCAGAGUGGGAGAAUAACUCCUCGCCUGUCAGAACUUAAACGGAGUUCAUCUCAUCAAAUAAUGUUUCCUGAAUCGCUGAGAUCUUUCACAUGAAGAGUGGGUCGCUGUGAUGAGAAAAGAUGUUUAAAGGAG
rnacentral:lncRNA from 1 species